rnacentral:tRNA from 1 species
UGGGGUGUGGUUUAGUGGUAGAGCACUUGCCUGGCAAGCAUAAGGCCCUAGGUUCUUUCACAGCACCACAA